AGAGUUUGAUCCUGGCUCAGGAUGAACGCUAGCUACAGGCUUAACACAUGCAAGUCGAGGGGCAGCAUGGUCUUAGCUUGCUAAGGCUGAUGGCGACCGGCGCACGGGUGAGUAACGCGUAUCCAACUUCCCCUUAGUAGGGCAUAGCCCGGCGAAAGUCGGAUUAACACCCUAUGUUUUCCGUUGCGGGCAUCUAAUAUGGAACAAAGAUUUAUCGCUAAGGGAUGGGGAUGCGUCUGAUUAGGUAGUAGGCGGGGUAACGGCCCACCUAGCCUUCGAUCAGUAGGGGUUCUGAGAGGAAGGUCCCCCACAUUGGAACUGAGACACGGUCCAAACUCCUACGGGAGGCAGCAGUGAGGAAUAUUGGUCAAUGGCCGAGAGGCUGAACCAGCCAAGUAGCGUGCAGGACGACGGCCCUAUGGGUUGUAAACUGCUUUUAUGCGGGGAUAAAGUCGCCCACGUGUGGGUGUUUGCAGGUACCGCAUGAAUAAGGACCGGCUAAUUCCGUGCC
rnacentral:rRNA from 1 species